rnacentral:rRNA from 1 species
GAUGAACGCUGGCGGCGUGCUUAACACAUGCAAGUCGAACGAGAAAUGGAGACGGAAACCUUCGGGCGGAAGGCUUCAUUUCGAGUGGCGGACGGGUGAGUAACGCGUGGGUAACCUGCCUCAUACAGGGGGAUAACAGUUGGAAACGACUGUUAAUACCGCAUAAGACCACAGCACCGCAUGGUGCGGGGGUAAAAACUCCGGUGGUAUGAGAUGGACCCGCGUUCGAUUAGCCAGUUGGCGGGGUAACGGCCCACCAAAGCGACGAUCGAUAGCCGAUCUGAGAGGAUGACCGGCCACAUUGGGACUGAGACACGGCCCAAACUCCUACGGGAGGCAGCAGUGGGGAAUAUUGCACAAUGGGGGAAACCCUGAUGCAGCGACGCCGCGUGAGUGAAGAAGUACUUCGGUAUGUAAAGCUCUAUCAGCAGGGAAGAAAAUGACGGUACCUGAGUAAGAAGCCCCGGCUAACUACGUG